GGCAUGGAGUAGUGGUUUGAGUGUUGGACUACAACUCUGGAAAUCAGGGUUCGAUUCCCAGUUCGGCCA
rnacentral:tRNA from 1 species